UACAGAGGGUGCGAGCGUUAAUCGGAAUUACUGGGCGUAAAGGGCUCGUAGGCGGCCAUCUAAGUCGGACGUGAAAUCCCUCGGCUUAACCUGGGAACUGCAUUUGUGACUGCAUCGCUGGAGUGCGGCAGAGGGGGAUGGAAUUCCGCGUGUAGCAGUGAAAUGCGUAGAUAUGCGGAGGAACACCGAUGGCGAAGGCAAUCCCCUGGGCCUGCACUGACGCUCAUGCACGAAAGCGUGGGGAGCAAACAGG
rnacentral:rRNA from 1 species